rnacentral:rRNA from 1 species
CUUAAAGGAAUUGACGGGACCGCACAAGCGGUAGAUGAUGUGGAUUAAUUCGAUGCAACGCGAAAACCUUACUUACCCUUGACAUGUCCGGAAUCCCGAAGAGAUUUGGGAGUGCUCGCAAGAGAACCGGAACACAGGUGCUGCAUGGCUGUCGUCAGCUCGUGUCGUGAGAUGUUGGGUUAAGUCCCGCAACGAGCGCAACCCUUGUCAUUAGUUGCCAUCAUUUGGUUGGGCACUCUAAUGAGACUGCCGGUGACAAACCGGAGGAAGGUGGGGAUGACGUCAAGUCCUCAUGGCCCUUAUGGGUAGGGCUUCACACGUCAUACAAUGGUCGGUACAGAGGGUUGCCAACCCGCGAGGGGGAGCUAAUCCCACAAAGCCGAUCGUAGUCCGGAUCGCAGUCUGCAACUCGACUGCGUGAAGUCGGAAUCGCUAGUAAUCGUGGAUCAGCAUGUCACGGUGAAUACGUUCCCGGGUCUU